AGUCCGGUACCUCAUUAAAACUGGGGAAAUCAUCGAUAGUGCAGAGAACUGGAAGAAAGCAGUCAAAGAGAAGGGGAAAACAACAGAAGCAGUAGCUGCUGCUUCCUAGGAGAUCCACUGGUCUGUAAAUUCUAGUUCGAUUUUGCUAAUUUUGAAAUAUUAUGAUUCUGUUAUCACCUUCACCUUUUUAAAUCAGUAACAGAAGAUUUUAUAUUAAAGUACAUUUUACUCAAAUUCUGUUUGCCUGUCUAUUUAGUACAAGUUUUCAAGUUCCAAGUAUUUCAAUUUUCAAAUUAGAACCCAACAAGAAGUGUUCAAAAAAGUACUAGUAUUUGUCAUCUUCAUCAUUUUCUUCUCCACCUUCAACACCACUCCCUCAGUCGUCACCACUGAUAUUCUUGCUUGUCGUCUUCACUCAACCUUAUAUUCUUCCAUUGAUUCUUCCAGUACUCAUUACGUACUAGAGUUGGAUGAUGAAUGGGUCGAGGACAAUGAUCUUCAUGUGCUUUAUAAUUCGGGUUCUUGUCCAUUUAUUGAUGAUUCUUUCAACUGUUUCAAGAAUGUGGAUGUAUGUCAUGACUCAUGAUACAGAUUAUCUCAGGCUUAGAUAGAAGCAACAUGGUUUGAAGGAUCAAAAUCAUAGGGACCAAAGUCGCUAUCCUCCACCCGUCCCCCACCCCAAAACAAAGAAAAAGAAGGAAAGGUUGAAGCAGAGGAACAGUCUAAAUCAGCAUUAAUGAAAUGCCAACUGAAAUAUUCCCCAAUUGCAGUUGAAUUCAGUUUUCUGAACACAAAUAGACAAGUGUCUUUUCUAUCAAAAUCAGAUGCAUAGAUACGUAAUGA
rnacentral:lncRNA from 1 species